CUCGGCGGAUCAGCCCGCUCCCGGUAAAACGGGACGGCCCGCCAGAGGACCCCUAAACUCUGUUUCUAUAUGUAACUUCUGAGUAAAACCAUAAAUAAAUCAAAACUUUCAACAACGGAUCUCUUGGUUCUGGCAUCGAUGAAGAACGCAGCAAAAUGCGAUAAGUAAUGUGAAUUGCAGAAUUCAGUGAAUCAUCGAAUCUUUGAACGCACAUUGCGCCCGCCAGUAUUCUGGCGGGCAUGCCUGUUCGAGCGUCAUUUCAACCCUCAAGCCCCCGGGUUUGGUGUUGGGGAUCGGCGAGCCCUUGCGGCAAGCCGGCCCCGAAAUCUAGUGGCGGUCUCGCUGCAGCU
rnacentral:rRNA from 1 species